rnacentral:lncRNA from 1 species
AUAAAAAUGCUUAGAAUCAGAAUGUUGAGUUACAAAUAACAAGACAUUCAGUGUCACUAGAUCAAAGAGAAAAUGAAGAGAUCAGAGAGAUAGAAUGAAGGAUAAGAAGAUGGGAAAGUUUAAAAGUAUCUUGUUAUCAUUGUCAUCAGAAAGCACUUGUGCCAAACUAUACAGAGAGGUGUGCUUCAUGCUGGAUCUGAAGAGAAAAGGAUAAAAUCACUGAUGAUGAAAAGUCCUGGAGGUGGCAAGAGAUGGACUCAAUGGAUGAAGCAGAGUGUUACCUAUUCCUCAGAGAAAUGAGUGAAAAAAAAUGAAGAAAGAAGUUGAAUGAAGAUACAGAAGCUGACAUGGAAAGAACAAGGUCCUGAAAAGAUAGAAUCGAUUCAGCCAAACUCAGCAAAUCCUUUGCCAAUUAGGGUGUUAUGGGGAAUUAUUUGCAGAGGAAGGAGUCUGAAAUAAUUGAAAUCCAGUGGCAAGACAACAAUCAAAAUAAAUUGUGAUAGCUUGGGACA